GACAGAGGUGCCGAGCGUUAGGCGGAAUCACUGGGCUUAAAGCGUGUGUAGGCGGAUCGUUAAGUGCCUUGUGAAAUCCCACGGCUCAACCGUGGAACUGCUGGGCAUACUGCCGAUCUUGAGCCACUUAGGGGCAACCGGAACAAACGGUGGAGCGGUGAAAUGCGUAGAUAUCAGGAGGAACACCAAUUGCGAAGGCAGCUCGCUGGGACGUUACUGACGCUGAGACGCGAAAGCGUGGGGAGCAAACAGG
rnacentral:rRNA from 1 species